GACAGAGAGCCCUCGUCAGAUGUGUAUUUUGGAGAGGAUUACCAGUUUUCUAUGCAGUGGCUAUAUCUGCUGCCAAAGACUUUGCUGGCUGGGAAAACACUGAUUUCUUCAAGGGAAACGUCGUAAGGCAGGAGGGUGCAUGACAACUUGUAAAAGUGGGGUUGAUAACAGAGAUAGAAACACUCAGUUUUUCGCAUUGGGUUAGAAUUAUCUACAAGACAGUUUGAAGAUGGGAAAAUAUUUUGACCCAUCUCUGAUAGUUUAGAGUAAUAUUAAAAUUGACUACACAAAUAAAUAAAAUGCAUAUAGGGAUUAAAAAUACCUAUUAUUUCAUAUGCAAUGUAAUACGUUGCUUAAGUUCUUUAUUGCAGUGGAAACAAAAAAAAGAAAGAAAUACAGUAGACAAGCCAAAAUAAUUUGCAUAAAACACAACGGAAAGUGGCUGAGAAGAGGACAAUUUAGGAAAAUGAUCUCUCCAGGAAUGCUGCCAAGGAAUUAUCAUGCUCCUCACGAACCCAGCAUGGAGUCUGUGUUUCUGCUCAGCUUCCUCUCUUCCACAGCCUGCUGGCCCUCUCAGCUCUGUGCUGGCUCAGGUAGAGAUAGCUUCCUUCCCCUUGUUUGUCCCAUAAAUCAGUUUCCAUAAAGCAUCUUGGUUUGU
rnacentral:lncRNA from 1 species